CUUGUCCUGCAACAGAACUUCAAAUUUAUAUUACUGGCGCCUUUUUGUCGCAUAGCUAAAAGAAAUUGUUUCAAAUGAGUAAGAUUAUAUAAAAUCAACAUAUUUUAUGAUGUAUGAAGGAGUAUAGUGCUAGAAGAAAAAACAAAGGCCAACCGGGUCUAGCCAAGUGGAAAGAGCCUUGACUUGCAGACUAGUGGUCUCAGCAAUUCUGUACUGUGUGAACAUACCUGUGACAACCUCCAGCUGGUAGACGUUAUUGAUUUGUGGUCCGUGCCGGAAAGCCUGACCGCUGAUCCCGGCAUAUGAUAAAGUCCCGCCGACGGUGAGGUGAAGCUCACCACCUGAAACAUCCACAUAAGGCUGCUCUCCAAUGUGAACCUGCAUUUGUUGUGCUUUGAGUGACUCCAUGUUGAUGACCAAAC